UGCGCAGGCGGUUUACACAGUCAGAUGUGAAAUUCCAGGGCUUAACCUUGGGGCUGCAUUUGAUACGUGUAGACUAGAGUGUGAGAGAGGGUUGUGGAAUUCCCAGUGUAGAGGUGAAAUUCGUAGAUAUUGGGAAGAACACCGGUGGCGAAGGCGGCAACCUGGCUCAUUACUGACGCUGAAGCACGAAAGCGUGGGGAGCAAAUAGGAUUAGAUACCCUUGUA
rnacentral:rRNA from 1 species